rnacentral:lncRNA from 1 species
AGGAUUUUAAAACAAUCUAUCACCUAUCUUUGACCAUAUGGACUAAACUUGAUAUCCACCAAUAGACACUGAUCCCUGCAAGUCAACAGCAUAAAGAGUGGUAAAGUCAGUUCUGCAAAAGAUGAAAUGUUUUUAAUGUGUUCUGGAGGCUAACAAUCCAAGAUCAAGAUGUCAGCAGGAUUGGUUCCUGAGGGCCUUGAGGAAGAAUCUGUUCCAGGACUUUCCCUUUGGCUUGCCAUUGGCCAUAUUCUCUCUGUGUCUUCUCAUGUCUUCCCUCUGUAUUUAUUUCCAAAUUUCCUCCUCUUAUAAGGACAGUAGUCAUUUUGGAAAAAGGACCACCCUAAUAACCUCAUUUUAACUUGAUUACCUCUUUAAAGACCUUAUCUCCAAAUACCAUCACAUUCUGAACUAUUACAGAUUAAUGCGUCAAUAUAGGAAUUUUGUGAGGGGCAGGGAGACAGGAUACAACCAACCCACAACACCCAGAUACAUAGCACAAUCUCUUUCUUCUAAGCCCCCUGUGCCUGUGUCUACCACUUCAUCCCCCAAUUAGCUAUAUUUGAAAAAGUAAGGGGGAAAGAACAGUUGAAGGGGGAAGAAAGAGAGAAAGAAGACAGACAACUUAGAUUAUGUGCCCUAAAUGCUGGCCUUACAAAACUGGAGCAAAUCUUAACCAAUCAUUGUAGCAAAACCUUUUGUUUAUGA